rnacentral:rRNA from 1 species
AGUGAACGCUGGCGGUAGGCCUAACACAUGCAAGUCGAACGGCAGCACAGUAAGAGCUUGCUCUGACGGGUGGCGAGUGGCGGACGGGUGAGGAAUACAUCGGAAUCUACUUUUUCGUGGGGGAUAACGUAGGGAAACUUACGCUAAUACCGCAUACGACCUACGGGUGAAAGCAGGGGAUCUUCGGACCUUGCGCGAUUGAAUGAGCCGAUGUCGGAUUAGCUAGUUGGCGGGGUAAAGGCCCACCAAGGCGACGAUCCGUAGCUGGUCUGAGAGGAUGAUCAGCCACACUGGAACUGAGACACGGUCCAGACUCCUACGGGAGGCAGCAGUGGGGAAUAUUGGACAAUGGGCGCAAGCCUGAUCCAGCCAUACCGCGUGGGUGAAGAAGGCCUUCGGGUUGUAAAGCCCUUUUGUUGGGAAAGAAAAGCAGCAGGUUAAUACCCCGCUGUUCUGACGGUACCCAAAGAAUAAGCACCGGCUAACUUCGUG